GGUCUUACUCUGUCACCCAGGCUGGAGUGCAGUGGCAUAAUCUUGGCUCACUGCAGCCCCAACAUCCCCGGCUCAAGCAAUCCUCCCGCCUCAGCCUCCUAAGUAGCUGGGACCACAGAAACCCAAACUGCAGAACAUGUUCAGUGAAGCAACCAGAGCUAAAUCAUUUGAAAUGCAUUAGCCAGUACUCGCCGCAAAUUAAUUUAACACCAGUCACAUGUGUCUGGGUGAUUUUCCCCUGAAAGGUGGCGUGAGUUGAUUGGACCCCAGGAGGAACGCUGCGCUGAAUGGCUCAAGAUUUACUACUAACCACACACUGCACAGAGAAGGCUGCGUGUUACCAAGGCCUCCAUGGAAUUAGGGGGAACUGCCAACAAACCAGUGCAGAGCCUGCAAAUGUCAGAUAGAAGGAGGAUGAGACAUGAUUUGGAUAUUUUUCCAAGAAGGAAAGACUCAGUUCAUUUAGAAGAGUUUCCUUAAGGAUAAAGGAAGUAUCCAGAACCUACUCUAAGAAAGGGAA
rnacentral:lncRNA from 10 species